AUUUUAUACUCUUUUGGGAGAAAUAACAAGCAUUCCUCUCCCCCGCUUCUUCUGAACUAUGACUUCCGUGUAAUACUUUUCUAUUAUUUCCCUAAUAAAGGAAUCUCUAACACACAUUCACAAUUUUGGCUGUUUGGGGACUUUCUAGAAAUGGAAUAAAACUUUAUGAAAUACUUGCUUUUUCAGUCAAUGUAAGUUUUUCAUUUAUGUUGCUGUAUGCAGCUGGAGUUCUCAUUAUUUUCAGGCUACGUAGUAUUUCAUUGUACAAAUAGUC